GCAUAACGCGAAGAACCUUACCUACCCUUGACAUGUCAGGGAUCCCUGAGAGAUUGGGGAGUGCCGCAAGGAAUCUGAACACAGGUGCUGCAUGGCUGUCGUCAGCUCGCGUCGUGAGAUGUUGGGUUAAGUCCCGCAACGAGCGCAACCCUUGUCGUUAAUUGCCAUCAUUUGGUUGGGCACUUUAACGAGACUGCCGGUGACAAACCGGAGGAAGGUGGGGAUGACGUCAAGUCCUCAUGGCCCUUAUGGGUAGGGCUUCACACGUCAUACAAUGGUCGGUACAGAGGGUUGCGAAGCCGCGAGGUGGAGCCAAUCCCAGAAAGCCGAUCGUAGUCCGGAUUGGAGGCUGCAACUCGCCUCAUGAAGUCGGAAUCGCUAGUAAUCGCGGAUCAGCAUGUCGCGGUG
rnacentral:rRNA from 1 species